GAUGAACGCUGGCGGCGUGCCUAAUACAUGCAAGUCGAGCGAACAGACGAGGAGCUUGCUCCUCUGACGUUAGCGGCGGACGGGUGAGUAACACGUGGAUAACCUACCUAUAAGACUGGGAUAACUUCGGGAAACCGGAGCUAAUACCGGAUAAUAUAUUGAACCGCAUGGUUCAAUAGUGAAAGACGGUUUUGCUAUCACUUAUAGAUGGAUCCGCGCCGCACUAGCUAGUUGGUAAGGUAACGGCUUACCAAGGCAACGAUGCGUAGCCGACCUGAGAGGGUGAUCGGCCACACUGGAACUGAGACACGGUCCAGACUCCUACGGGAGGCAGCAGUAGGGAAUCUUCCGCAAUGGGCGAAAGCCUGACGGAGCAACGCCGCGUGAGUGAUGAAGGUCUUCGGAUCGUAAAACUCUGUUAUUAGGGAAGAACAAAUGUGUAAGUAACUAUGCACGUCUUGACGGUACCUAAUCAGAAAGCCACGGCUAACUACGUG
rnacentral:rRNA from 1 species